rnacentral:rRNA from 1 species
AGAGGUUUUGAUCCUGGGCUCAGGACGAACGCUGGCGGCGUGCCUAAUACAUGCAAGUCGAGCGCGUCUUACUUAUAUUGAUCCUUCGGGUGACGUUUUGUAAGAUGAGCGGCGGACGGGUGAGUAACACGUGGGCAACCUGCCUGUAAGACUGGGAUAACUCCGGGAAACCGGGGCUAAUACCGGAUAACAAAUGUCACUGCAUGGUGACAUUUUGAAAGAUGGCUUCGGCUAUCACUUACAGAUGGGCCCGCGGCGCAUUAGCUAGUUGGUAAGGUAAUGGCUUACCAAGGCAACGAUGCGUAGCCGACCUGAGAGGGUGAUCGGCCACACUGGGACUGAGACACGGCCCAGACUCCUACGGGAGGCAGCAGUAGGGAAUCUUCCGCAAUGGACGAAAGUCUGACGGAGCAACGCCGCGUGAACGAUGAAGGCCUUCGGGUCGUAAAGUUCUGUUGUUAGGGAAGAACAAGUACCGUUCGAAUAGGGCGGUACCUUGACGGUACCUAACCAGAAAGCCACGGCUAACUACGUGCCAGCAGCCGCGGUAAUACGUAGGUGGCAAGCGUUGUCCGGAAUUAUUGGGCGUAAAGCGCGCGCAGGCGGUCCUUUAAGUCUGAUGUGAAAGCCCACGGCUCAACCGUGGAGGGUCAUUGGAAACUGGAGGACUUGAGUACAGAAGAGGAGAGUGGAAUUCCACGUGUAGCGGUGAAAUGCGUANAUAUGUGGGAGGAACACCAGUGGGGAAAGGCGGCUCUCUGGUCUGUAACUGAC